CUUCGUUCUUCACUUCCUAGAUUUGGGGUCUUAAAAAGAUUCAACCUUUAUGUUUUCUUCCUUUGUUUGUGUUUCUUCACUUAUGAGACGACACUGUUGUUUCUGAGAUCUGGGUUUUGAAGAUUUUCAAUUGAGUUGCAGGUGAGGGCUGGAGGCCUUAUUGUAAUUGAUAAUGUCCUUUGGCACGAAAUCUCAAGACUGUUCACUUUGGAUGCCGUUUGAUUUUGUGCUUCCAAGGUUUUGCCAAAGCUUCAUACUUCUUUGAUUUCCUUGUUCCACAAAGCUAAAGAGGUAAUUUGACAUGCUUUGAUAUAUGAAUUAAGAAGUGGCCAACGCCAAAGUAAGACGUUCAACCUUUUGGUCAUCAUUUUCUACUUCGUUCAAUUCUUGGGUUUCAAUUUUGCUGUUAUAUUUUCUUUGUAUUGUGGUUUUCUCAAUUUGGGAGAAUCUUGUGUAUAUGAGUGUGCAUUUAGUGAUGGAUAUUGGUUUGUUAAAAAUGCUAUUGUGGUGCAUAAUUGUAUGCCUAUGUGUAAGUCGUUUGAGUUCUUUUUAGUGUAGGUUCAAGUGUGUGUACAAGUGUACUAGAAUUGUUAAACUAGUAAUAAUGGAUUUAAAGGACGAAUGAGCGGAACACAUGCUAGAGUUAUUCGCAUCAUGUGGCAAAGAAGCGAGAACUUAAAAACUUAA